rfam:Salmo salar isolate Sally breed double haploid chromosome ssa14, whole genome shotgun sequence.
GCCUAACAGGCUCAGUUGGUAGAGCAUGGUGUUUGCAACGCCAGCAUGGUGUGUGCAACGCCAGGGUUGUGGGUUCGAUUCCCACGGGGGGCC